rnacentral:rRNA from 1 species
UGCGUAGGUGGCGAGCGUUGCCCGGAUUUACUGGGCGUAAAGGGAGCGUAGGCGGGCUUUUAAGUGAGAUGUGAAAUGCUCGGGCUCAACUUGAGUGCUGCAUUUCAAACUGGAAGUCUAGAGUGCAGGAGAGGAGAAUGGAAUUCCUAGUGUAGCGGUGAAAUGCGUAGAGAUUAGGAAGAACACCAGUGGCGAAGGCGAUUCUCUGGACUGUAACUGACGCUGAGGCUCGAAAGCGUGGGGAGCAAACAGG